rnacentral:rRNA from 1 species
CCCGACCGCUAUCGGGGUAGGGCUAAGCCAUGCGAGUCGCGCGCCCGGGGGCGCCCGGGAGCGGCGCACGGCUCAGUAACACGUGCCCAACCUACCCUCGGGAGGGGGACACCCCCGGGAAACUGGGGCCAAUCCCCCAUAGGGGAAGGGCGCUGGAAGGCCCCCUCCCCGAAAGGACGGCGGCCGAUCCGCCGCCGCCCGCCCGAGGAUGGGGGCACGGCCCAUCAGGUAGUUGGCGGGUUAAAGGCCCGCCAAGCCGAAGACGGGUAGGGGCGGUGAGAGCCGCGAGCCCCGAGAUCGGCACUGAGACAAGGGCCGAGGCCCUACGGGGUGCAGCAGGCGCGAAUACUCCGCAAUGCGGGCAACCGCGACGGGGCUACCCCGAGUGCCGGGCGAAGAGCCCGGCUUUUGCCCGGUCUAAAACGCCGGGAGAAUAAGCGGGGGGCAAGUCUGGUGUCAGCCGCCGCGGUAAUACCAGCUCCGCGAGUGGUCGGGGUGUUUACUGGGCUUAAAGCGCCCGUAGCCGGCCCGGCAAGUCGCUCCUGAAAUCCCAGGGCUCAACCCUGGGGCAGGGGGCGAUACUGCCGGGCUAGGGGGCGGAAGAGGCCGCCGGUACUCCGGGGGUAGGGGCGAAAUCCGUUAAUCCCCGGAGGACCACCAGUGGCGAAAGCGGGCGGCCAGAACGCGCCCGACGGUGAGGGGCGAAAGCCGGGGGAGCAAAGGGGAUUAGAUACCCCUGUAGUCCCGGCCGUAAACGAUGCGGGCUAGCUGUCGGCUAGGCUUAGGGCCCGGCCGGUGGCGAAGGGAAACCGUUAAGCCCGCCGCCUGGGGAGUACGGCCGCAAGGCUGAAACUUAAAGGAAUUGGGCGGGGGGGCACCACAAGGGGUGAAGCUUGCGGCUUAAUUGGAGUCAACGCCGGAACCUCACCCGGGGCGACAGCAGAUGAAGGCCAGGCUAACGACCUUGCCUGACGAGCUGGAAGGAGGUGCAUGCCGUCGUCAGCUCGUGCCGUGAGGUGUCAGUAACCGUGAUGGGGGUGAUCUUAACCGUAGCGCGGUGAUCUUUAUGGAGAUCUUGGUACCUUGUCGGGUUCUCUGGGGAUGCUACCUCUAUCACUACAG